GACGUAGGGUGCAAGCGUUGUCCGGAUUUAUUGGGCGUAAAGAGCUCGUAGGCGGCUUGUUGCGUCGUCCGUGAAAACCUGUGGCUCAACUACAGGCUUGCGGUCGAUACGGGCGGGCUGGAGUUCGGUAGGGGAGACUGGAAUUCCUGGUGUAGCGGUGAAAUGCGCAGAUAUCAGGAGGAACACCGGUGGCGAAGGCGGGUCUCUGGGCCGAUACUGACGCUGAGGAGCGAAAGCGUGGGGAGCGAACGGG
rnacentral:rRNA from 1 species